rfam:Agrilus planipennis Contig7557, whole genome shotgun sequence.
AGGUAGAGGGGUUUUAGUCGGUAGGUCCGAGGACUUCUUCCUCGGGAAUCCGACACUACCCAGUCGUACGGACGGCUGGGUGUCUUCAGAAGAUUUCCUCUCUUCC